GAUUUUUUUUUUUAUCUAAUAGAUUUGAUUAUGGUCAGAAGUAAUGAUAAAAUGGUGUUAUAUAAUAUUUAUUCACGGAGUGGACAAUGGAAUUUAAUCCCGGCAAUUUAUUGCUUGUAUAAACUUUGUACCAGAAUAAUCGGAUAGACUUAGUAAGCUUAUACCCUAAAUGUGUUUUGGCCAUGAUUUUAUCAUUCUAGAAUUUAGAACUAUACAGUGCAAUGAGUAGUUUUUUUUAUUUAUGUGUUUCUUGGUUAAUAAGAUUGGAUAUUUGACCUGGAUUAGUACCCAGUUAAUCCAAAUUAAGAAGUUUUCAGGAGUAAAGUAAUAUUUAAACUGUAAGAAUAUUGGCGGAUUUUUCAAUUAUCUUUGGAGGCUGAGCUGUAAUUGAGAACCCUCAUUAUCAUCUUUAACUUUUGUCGCAUGUAUGAUCGUUUAUGUCCUUCUUAACGAGGUGCAUUAAAAAUAAUUUAGCUAAGAUUUUUCUUGUUAAUGAUAUUUAAAAAAACAGAUAAAUACCUGGUAUAUGUUAAAGAUUUCGUUUGGCCUACAAUAUCUUUAUGAUUCGGAUAAGUCGAAGAGAUUUGAUUUUGAAGUUGUAAAAGACAGUAAAUAUCUUUUAAUGGGAUGUUGAAGAAUUAAGGAAAGUCGUUCAAAUCAUCCAUCAAUUGCCCCCAGGGGAGUAAGUUGUAGUAAAGUAGGUGUAGGGGAAUCUGUACCUAGUUUCUUUUUUUUAUUUUU
rnacentral:ncRNA from 1 species